rnacentral:rRNA from 1 species
AAUCUGCCUGGUAGUGGGGGAUAACGUUCGGAAACGGACGCUAAUACCGCAUACGUCCUACGGGAGAAAGCAGGGGACCUUCGGGCCUUGCGCUAUCAGAUGAGCCUAGGUCGGAUUAGCUAGUUGGUGGGGUAAUGGCUCACCAAGGCGACGAUCCGUAACUGGUCUGAGAGGAUGAUCAGUCACACUGGAACUGAGACACGGUCCAGACUCCUACGGGAGGCAGCAGUGGGGAAUAUUGGACAAUGGGCGAAAGCCUGAUCCAGCCAUGCCGCGUGUGUGAAGAAGGUCUUCGGAUUGUAAAGCACUUUAAGUUGGGAGGAAGGGUUGUAGAUUAAUACUCUGCAAUUUUGACGUUACCGACAGAAUAAGCACCGGCUAACUCUGUGCCAGCAGCCGCGGUAAUACAGAGGGUGCAAGCGUUAAUCGGAAUUACUGGGCGUAAAGCGCGCGUAGGUGGUUUGUUAAGUUGGAUAUGAAAUCCCCGGGCUCAACCUGGGAACUGCAUUCAAAACUGACUGACUAGAGUAUGGUAGAGGGUGGUGGAAUUUCCUGUGUAGCGGUGAAAUGCGUAGAUAUAGGAAGGAACACCAGUGGCGAAGGCGACCACCUGGACUAAUACUGACACUGAGGUGCGAAAGCGUGGGGAGCAA